ensembl:lncRNA
UAAUUAUUGAUUUGCUCUAAUAUAUUGCAUGUAUUUGUUUGUUUUAAAAUAUUUUUUGUUCACAGGAAUCUACCUUUUCUCUGAAUUUUUUAUUUUUAUGGUGGUCUAUUUUUCAGGUUGGUAAAUCCAAACAUUUUUCCAUAUGAUCGUGUGUAUCAUCAUGCUGUCAUCAAUGCACAUUAUUAGUUCAAAAUAAUCUGCACUGACCUAAAAAUAGCAGCAUUGGAUAAAUACUUUAGUGUAUCGUGACUAAUAUUUUAACAUUACCACUUCACUACUAAGAAAUGUAAUGUAGGUCUUUUGUUGUGAAACUAUUUUAGCAAUCAUUUUUUUAGUAGCGCUAACAACAAGUUUCUGUACCCAUGUUUGUUCUCUCCAAGAGCUUUAACAAAAUGCAAAAACUGCCUGGAACUGCUGCUGUGCUUUUACUGAAUAACUGCGUACGUUAGAAUGUCAUCAGCCAAUCAGAAUCAAGCAUUCAACAGUCACAUGGUUUAAUGUCUGCUGUUAUUCUGUUUUAGUUCUUUUGAGUCGUGCUUGGGGAAAUAUUGUACAUUAUGCAGAGUCUGAAAAAAUAACACUAAUCGCAGUGUUUGUAGUUGUGAUUCUGCUCUUUGUCAUCUUCUUCAUUUACAUAUUUACUAAAAACAAGGAGAUGUCAUGUCAUGGAGAGAUAUGUGAAUGGGUGUUGCAAAAAUGUGGAUAUAUUUUGGCAUUCAGCAUUUUGAUUCUGCCUACAUUACAAUUCACCCUCCUGUUCAUCGCUUUUAGAGCCACUGGAGGAGGGUUUUUGAUCUCCAUAAUUUUCUCAUUAUUCUUUUUUCUGACAUUUACCUGUAUACCAGCAGCACAAGAUAAAAGCUGUUCAAAUAUGCUCAAUAUAAUAUCGUGGAUGAUGGUCAUGUUUAUCAUGACUGCAGUAAUGAUGUAUUUCUACAUCACAGCACUGAAAAAUGAAAAAGAUGGAGCAGGAUGGACCUGUACAGCUGUAUUUGUGCAAGUGCUGUGGAUGAUCGCAGUGUACACUCCGUUAGCUAAAGAUCCGGGUACAGUAUUGAUCAUCUACUGAAUUUAUCUUUGAGAAGUUUUUCCUUCCCGGUCUAUAGGUUUAAAUAUCUUACAGUGGCUACCAGUUUGGAAGUGAUUUUCAUUAUAAUGAAUAUUUCAUGCUAAUAAAAUGUCAUUGAUGGCUCUCUCUCUCUCUCUC